CUUAUCAUCGAGUCUAGAAUGUGUUUCCUGAAAUACAGUAUAUAUACAUACAUAUAAUGUGUUGAAUGGUGUAUGAGUUUCUCUCAAGCUUAUUGUGUUCAUCUUAUUAUCUGCAUUUGCACCUGCACCUUCUUGCUACAAUCUACCGCUUUCUUUCUUUCAGGGGUUUGAGACACAAAAAGGUGCAUGUGUUUCUGCAGACAAAAGAUGCCAUCUUGCAUUCUGCUUUAAUCUGCCAUUUCUCUCUUUCUCUCUCUCAUCAAAAGCAUAUGCAUAUACAUAUACAUAUAUAUACGUGUAUGUGUUCAGUGUGUGUACAUGGUGAAGAAUAAGUGGAAAGAAGAAAUGGUAUUCAUCAUUCAUACAUCAUGCAAAGAGAAUGAACCUCCUCCUAAGCGGCGUGAGGGGAGACAUGCACCACUAACCGCCCUCCACGUCAGCGUGUCCGGCUUCUCUCCUAAUGGGCUCUCUCUACUUGAGAGUCGGGAUGCACGUCCCCAGUCCUCACUGGCUUCAACACUCUCUCUCCUCCACAUCUCCGCAUCACGUGAUGCUCUUCACGAGCAGUGCAUUGGAGAAUUGAAGGUGCAAGUCCUAAUUUUCCCCUUUUCAAAGGUUAAUUUGCAACUUCUUAUCUUCUAACUUCUUAGAAUGCAACUUUGUGUACUUGGAACAUAUCUUCCAAUCAAAUCAAGUAUAUAGGGGAAGACAACUUCUUGUUAAUGUAUCCAAAUUCCUAAACUAAUGUAAUUAGACAAUGGUGUAUAUAUAUCCAACGGAUCUGCGAUUUCUUUUUCAUAAA